GGAAUCUAGAGCAGCUGAAAAUUGAAAUAAAAGCAAACCUGUGCUGGUUGGUGUCACCUGGGCCCUGCUCUCUGUCCUGCACAUCGACUCUAUCCGUGGAUUAGGCUUAAACCAGAGAGAACGAGGCGUUAAGGCAGAAUUGGGGUUGUUUUGACGUCACCUGAUUCCAUCAUAGAAGGUGCUGUAGGAGAUCAACGUGCUGGAAAACUUCCAACAAAAUGGUCUGAAAGGUUUUUAUGGGUGGUGAGAUGUUCCAGUGCUUGGAUCAAUGUGUUUCAUUAAAUGUCGGGAAGGAGUGGAUUCUUUUUUUUUUUGUUGUUUGCUUGGGUUAUUUUAAGUUGCUGUAAUUAUAAGUCAGCAGACCUGAUCCAGGUGAGAGAAAAUCAUGUGAUGGUUUGGGUUGGAGGAGACUUUAAAGCUCAUCUCAUUCCACUCCCUGCCACGGGCAGGGACACCUUCCCACUAUCCCAGGUUGCCCCAAGCC